AAAAAGAAUAACAGACUAAGCUAUUAUUGCAAGCCACCUCUUUUCUUCGUGAUAAAUUCUUUGUAUACAGGCAAGUCUUUUACUCAGUGCUGUGAUAAACCUGCACGUGCAGUGACGAAGAGUUGUGCUUGCUCGUGGCAUGUGAUAAGUCAGAACUAUAAUGAUUAAAAAGGUAACAGCAGCUAACUCCAGCUACCAGAGAAACUACCAGGCUGAUGCUGGCAGGAGGGAAGAAGGAGCCCCUUUGCAAUUUCUGGGCAUGCAGAAUUGGUGAGAGCAGGUUUGGGAACAGGAGAGGGAGCAGACUGGUGAAGCUGGAGUGCAAUGGCAGCAGUUGUAGCUCAGAUUGCUUUGCCAGUAGAGGCUGCUGCUACACCACCAUACCCUGAAGUGACUCUCUUGUUUUUCCAUGCCAUGAUGGUGAUGGAGACUUUGGGAUUACUGAUAUUCUGUGGCUCUAGGGAAAAUUCUAAUAUACCUGUGUCCUUGAUCUGAUCCUGGUGUCUUUGUCCUAACUUGUUUCAUCUGCAGGGUCAUAGGGAAACAUGGCUAACAUAUAUUUUUCAUUUUAAGGGUUAGAUUAUGCAGACUUUUCUCCACCCAGAUAUAAGCAUACAUACAUUUUUUGAUUCAUUAUCUGUUUUUUCCUCAUACCUCUGAGUGCCAUUAAAAACCCUACUGAAUAGAAAAGACUGUAUAAAUACAUGGAAAAUAGUAAUUUUUAAGAAGUAUUUUCUUCAGAUCUGCAGAAAUGUAGUCUUUUCUGAUACACAGUACUCCUUGCUUGGAAUAUAUUAUUUCAUUAUAUUCUUGUGGCUACCAUCCAGAUCUGCCUAUAGAAGCCAUAGUAAUUUACCUACUGUGUUUUAAAUGCUGUAAUAGUUCUUUGUGUUAGCUGGGAUUUAGUUUAUUAUUUUUUUUCCAAUAUGUCUUUUUGGUCUGUC